UCCAAGAGGCAGGAAUGUCGAUCGAAUUUGACAAAAGCGGUGUAACCAUUUCGAAAAAUGGGUUAAUGGCUGUCAAAAAUUCAGAGAAUCAUCUGGCUGACAUAUUUACAAAACCGUUGCCUGCUGCGAGAUUUGUGGAGUUACGAGACAAAUUGGGUUUGCUGCAAGACGACCAAUCGAAUGCUGAAUGAAAUUUUUAUAUAUAUUUUUCAAAUUUAAAUUCCUGUAAACAUAUUUUGUUACAAUGAUCUGAUCGGGUUUUUCUGGGUUUUCCCCGUAUCCUCGCAGCAAAUGCUGGAUCAGUUAACACUUCCCAGAAUGCACACCACCCACAUUUGAUAGUUACUAAUGAAUAUUAUUGUUAUGUUUUUAA